GUGGGUGCUAUGUUAGGGGCUGGGGGCGGUACUGACCUUGGGAGCGUGCGGGCGAGGCGCAGGCGCAGCACAGUGUUCCAGCAGAGCAACUGGGGAACCUAAUUCUGACCAACAAGGAGGAAUUGCUUGGCUAAUUGGAAGUGACAGAAACCUUGGGAGAAAACAACCACAUACCAAGGAUAAUUAUAAGAAAGUAACAUGGACCCUAAAGGAUAGUGUCAAGAAACCUGAAGCCACCAAAUGAGACAGAAGACACAGAGAAGAGGAGGAAGCAGUGUGACCAUGGAGGCAGAGAUUGGAGUAAUGUGGCCACAAAUCAAGGAAUGUGAAAGCCUCCAGAAGCUGCAGGAGGCUGUGAACAAUUUCUUCCUUAGAUCCUACAGAGGAGUACAGCCAUGCUGACACCUUGAUUUCAGAUUUCUGGCCUUAGAACUGUAAGAGAAGAAAUUUCUGUUGUUUUAAGCCACCAGUUUGUGUUAAUGUAUUGCAGCAGCCCUUGAAGUUACUAUACAUAUCUCUAGUAGACAAGUGUGUUAGUCAGGGUUCUCCAGAGAAACAAAACCAAUAGAAUAUAGAUAUUGUUAAAUAAAUUAAAAUGGAGACUGGGACUGAAGAAUUCCUGAGCAGACAAAGCCAGUUAGGCCUCAUAAGUUAACCUUGCUUGAUUUGCAAACAUAAGUGAUACUUGAGCUAUUUAUUGUAAAUGCAUAUAUUAAAAAAAAACCAGAACUUAAGCUCAACCAAUCAGAAGCAAGCAACAAACUUAUGUAAAGCUAGGGACUUUCCAAAGGUAUAAUAUACCAAAUAAAGCAACUGUAUAAACUGUAACCAAUCAAAUAUUUUCUUUGUUUUACUUUUGUAUUCCUCCUAUAAAAGGCGUCCCCUUGGAAUGCAGUGUUUAUGGAAAACAGUAUGGUUGUUUCUCAAACCACUACAACUAGGACUACCAUAUGAUCCAGCAAUCUCACUACUGGGUAUAUAUGCAAAGGAAUGGAAAUCAUCAUGUUGAAGGAAAACCUCCUAUGUUUAUCACAGCUCUAUUUACCAUAGCCAAGAUAUGGAACGAACCUAAAUGUCCAUCAAUGAUGACUGAAUAAAGAAAAUGUGGUAUAUAUACACAAUGAAACACUACUAAGCCAUAAAAAGGAAUGAAAUUCUGCCAUUCACAGCAACAUGGAUGAACUUAGAGAUAAGUAUGUUAAGUGAAAUAAGCCAGGCACAGAAAAAGAAAUACCACAUGUCCUUGCUCAUAUGGGGAAGCAAAGAAAGGAAAGAAGGAAGGACACAAUGAUACUUUGAACGUUCAGAAGGAGAGAACAGAACUUUGAUUAUUAGAGGGAGGAAAGUGAGAGGGGGAGGGGGUUAGAGAGAAAUUGGUUAAAAGAAUGAGUAUGUUUUGUAAUGACAAAUAUGCCGACUAUCCUGAUUUGAUCAUCACACAUUGUACACAAAUACUUAUAAUCAACUCUGUACUCCACAAAUAUUUAUCAUCAGUUACAUUUCAAAUUUUUAAAAAAGCCUUCUCCUUGGGUUCCCUUGGUGGAGUUCCUAAACCACUUCUGGUUUGGA